UACGGGGGGGGCAAGCGUUGUUCGGAAUUACUGGGCGUAAAGGGCUCGUAGGCGGCCAACUAAGUCGGACGUGAAAUCCCUAGGCUUAACCUGGGAACUGCGUCCGAUACUGGAUGGCUUGAAUUCGGGAGAGGGAUGCAGAAUUCCAGGUGUAGCGGUGAAAUGCGUAGAUAUCUGGAGGAAUACCGGUGGCGAAGGCGGCAUCCUGGACCGACAUUGACGCUGAGGAGCGAAAGCCAGGGGAGCAAACGGG
rnacentral:rRNA from 1 species